GCCAGGCAGCUCAGCUCAGAGAGAACCUCGGCAUGUUGGUGUGGAUCCCCAGCAGCUGUCUGAACCAGACUCAGUUGGACGAGUACAUCGCCCUCGCCAAAGAGAAACAUGGCUACAACAUGGAGCAGGCUCUGGGGAUGCUCUUCUGGCACAACACAACAUUGAGAAAUCUUUGGCAGACC